rnacentral:antisense_RNA from 19 species
CUUGACGGAGCCGAGCCAGAGCGGCUGUCCGGCGUCGCGUGCCGCCCCGUAGGUGGCGAGGAGGGCCUGUGCCUC